rnacentral:rRNA from 1 species
UACGAGGGUGCAAGCGUUGCUCGGAAUUAUUGGGCGUAAAGGGUAGGUAGGUGGUCUCAUUUGUCUGGGUGAAAGCCUUGAGCUUAACUCAAGAAGUGCCCCGGAAACGGUGAGACUGGAGUCCUGGAGAGGGUUGUGGAAUUCCCGGUGUAGCGGUGAAAUGCGCAGAUAUCAGGAGGAACACCGGUGGCGAAGGCGGGUCUCUGGGCCGAUACUGACGCUGAGGAGCGAAAGCAUGGGUAGCGAACAGG